CACGUUGAAACAUCGGUUCUUGUACAAUCACCGAAGUUAAGCAACGUUGAGCCUGGUCAGUACUUAGAUGGGUGAUCCCUUGAGAAUACCAGGUGCUGUAAU
rnacentral:rRNA from 1 species